AUUUCUUUUUCUUCUUGCCAGCCGCCGACUCCUUCUUUUGCUAUUUUGCUAUUUGCAAAAUCUUUCUUUUGUUGUGUAAGAACACUGUUAUUGCUUGUUGUGAUCUCAUUGUUUACUUAUCUCUUUCCUUUCCUCGUAGUGGAUUUGAUCGUGUUGUGUUGUGGUUAGGAGAAGAGCAUCUGGUGAUAGACGACUCUCCGAAAAAUUAAGUUCUUGGUGUAGUUGCUGUAAGUUUGUGAAUUCUAAGUGUACGACUAUGUGGUGGAUCAAUCUCACUGUCAAGUAUGAGAAACAACCCAAAAACUCAAUUGAAACUUGACAAAAUCACGAAACAUAGGUUUUCUUCAAAGCUGCCUAGCGUCACACGGCUGUGUGGGAGGUCGUGUGAUAGACCAUGUGUGUUAUACGCUCGUGUGGUAAACAGUGUGAGAUUUUGCAGCCCGUAUGGGUAGGCCGUGUGGACCACACGGGCUAGCUUUUUGGGUCAUGUGGGCAUUUUUGGCCAAUUUUAGAGCUCGAUUGGAGCUGUUUGACGGACUCAAAAAUUGGGUCUGUAGGCAUCAUAUGGGGCUGAAAAAUCAUAAGUUUUAAUACAUAACAUACAUGGGUAAGCUUAGGAGGUAGGUUAUGUUAUAAUAUGAUUCGUAGGAAAAUAUAUGUGUUUGCAUGCCAUAUAAUUUGUGAUAUGUAUAUGUUGAUAUUAUGAUUAUGUUUAUGAGUAUGCUUAUGUU